AGCUCACUGAGAUGUUGUAAAGAGAUGAGAGAGGAGAAAGGGCUCUCUGGGUGCUCGGGGCCGCCUGCAUGCUGGUCUCUUCGUCUGGAUUCAGAGCGCUUAUUUCUGUAAAACAGCCAGGGGCUGCUUUGCAAGCGCCCGGCAAGCUCUCGUGUCCACAAAGAUGCAGUGGCAACGACUGGGAGCCUUGUUCUCUUCUAGGCAUUUACAAACUGAUCUGUUCCUGUGUUUCCAGGUGUAGAAGAUUGAUGCCUGGAGGAGGGUGAAUCAGGCUGACCCAGGAAGGUGAAAGUCGUCCGUUGAGGUCGGUGGAGCAGGAAGCUAGAAGGAGCCGGUUUUCUCGAUGACUGCCUGGACCAGCCACAGUAACCUAGGACCAUCUAGCUCCUUAUUGCAUGAGGAAAAUAAAUCUUUAUUUGGUUAAGUAA